rnacentral:rRNA from 1 species
AGAUGGAUUGGUGCCUUCGGGAACUGUGAGACAGGUGCUGCAUGGCUGUCGUCAGCUCGUGUUGUGAAAUGUUGGGUUAAGUCCCGCAACGAGCGCAACCCUUAUCCUUUGUUGCCAGCGAUUAGGUCGGGAACUCAAAGGAGACUGCCAGUGAUAAACUGGAGGAAGGUGGGGAUGACGUCAAGUCAUCAUGGCCCUUACGACCAGGGCUACACACGUGCUACAAUGGCGCAUACAAAGAGAAGCGACCUCGCGAGAGCAAGCGGACCUCAUAAAGUGCGUCGUAGUCCGGAUUGGAGUCUGCAACUCGACUCCAUGAAGUCGGAAUCGCUAGUAAUCGUGGAUCAGAAUGCCACGGUGAAUACGUUCCCGGGCCUUGUACACACCGCCCGUCACACCAUGGGAGUGGGUUGCAAAAGAAGUAGGUAGCUUAACCUUCGGGAGGGCGCUUACCACUUUGUGAUUCAUGACUGGGGUGAAGUCGUAACAAGGUAACCGUAGGGGAACCUGCGGUUGGAUCACCUCCUUA